ACACUCCUACGGGAGGCAGCAGUGGGGAAUUUUGGACAAUGGGCGAAAGCCUGAUCCAGCAAUGCCGCGUGAGUGAAGAAGGCCUUCGGGUUGUAAAGCUCUUUUGUCAGGGAAGAAACGGUGAAAGCUAAUAUCUUUUGCUAAUGACGGUACCUGAAGAAUAAGCACCGGCUAACUACGUGCCAGCAGCCGCGGUAAUACGUAGGGUGCAAGCGUUAAUCGGAAUUACUGGGCGUAAAGCGUGCGCAGGCGGUUUUGUAAGUCUGAUGUGAAAUCCCCGGGCUCAACCUGGGAAUUGCAUUGGAGACUGCAAGGCUAGGAUCUGGCAGAGGGGGGUAGAAUUCCACGUGUAGCAGUGAAAUGCGUAGAUAUGUGGAGGAACACCGAUGGCGAAGGCAGCCCCCUGGGUCAAGAUUGACGCUCAUGCACGAAAGCGUGGGGAGCAAACAGGAUUAGAUACCCGAGUAGUCCCAUGA
rnacentral:rRNA from 1 species